AGAUUGAACGCUAGCGGCAUGCCUAACACAUGCAAGUCGAGCGGGUUCCCCGCAAGGGGGGCCAGCGGCGGACGGGUGAGUAACACGUGGGCAACCUGCCCUUGGGACGGGAAUAACUCCGGGAAACCGGGGCUAAUGCCGGAUGCGGUCUGGCCGGGGAUCCUGGCCAGAGCAAAGGUGUCGGAAGGCACCGCCCGAGGAGGGGCCCGCGGGCCAUUAGCUAGUUGGCGGGUAACGGCCCACCAAGGCGACGAUGGCUAGCCGGCCUGAGAGGGUGGUCGGCCACACUGGGACUGAGACACGGCCCAGACUCCUACGGGAGGCAGC
rnacentral:rRNA from 1 species